rnacentral:misc_RNA from 1 species
AAGUCGUAACAAGGUUUCCGUAGAUGAGUAACAUACAAUCCUUUCCUUUAUUAACUCUUAUGACAAUUUGCUAACAUAUAUUCCAGGUGAACCUGCGGAAGGAUCAUUGCCGAGUAAGGGUCUUCCAGGCCCGACCCCCAUUCCUUUGUAUAACCAACCAUGUAACAUGUUGCUUUGGCGGGCGGGCCCUCUCAGGCGGCCGGGGGCUUUCCCCGCCCCUGCCCGUGCCCGCCGGCAGCCAAUUUAAACUCUGAAAGUUGUGCCGUCUGAGAAUAAAUACAAAUCGUAAAAAAGCUUUCU